rnacentral:rRNA from 1 species
AUACGUAGGGCGCGAGCGUUGUCCGGAAUUACUGGGCGUAAAGAGCUCGUAGGUGGUUUGUCGCGUCGUCUGUGAAAUUCCGGGGCUUAACUCCGGGCGUGCAGGCGAUACGGGCAUAACUUGAGUACUGUAGGGGAGACUGGAAUUCCUGGUGUAGCGGUGAAAUGCGCAGAUAUCAGGAGGAACACCGGUGGCGAAGGCGGGUCUCUGGGCAGUAACUGACGCUGAGGAGCGAAAGCAUGGGUAGCGAACAGGAUUAGAUACCCUGGUAGUCCAUGCCGUAAACGGUGGGCGCUAGGGGUAGGGGUCUUCCACGACUUCUGUGCCGUAGCUAACGCAUUAAGCGCCCCGCCUGGGGAGUACGGCCGCAAGGCUAAAACUCAAAUGAAUUGACGGGG